rnacentral:rRNA from 1 species
AUUUAACGCUGUCGGCAGGCCUAACACAUGCAAGUCGAGCGAGCGGCGGACGGGUGAGAAAUGUCUGGGAAACUGCCUGCUGGAGGGGGAACACACCUGGAAACGGUAGCUAAAACCGCAUACCCUCAGAUGUGCGCAGAUGGGAUUAGCUAGUAGGUGGGGUAGAGGCUCACCUAGGCGACGAUCCCUAGCUGGUCUGAGAGGAUGACCAGCCACACUGGAACUGAGACACGGUCCAGACUCCUACGGGAGGCAGCAGUGGGGAAUAUUGCACAAUGGGCGCAAGCCUGAUGCAGCCAUGCCGCGUGUGUGAAGAAGGCCGUCGGGUUGUAAAGCACUUUCAGCGGGGAGGCGUUACCCGCAGAAGAAGCACCGGCUAACUCCGUGCCAGCAGCCGCGGUAAUUC